AGGGGAAAAUGCCUUUCUCCCA
rnacentral:miRNA from 1 species